rnacentral:rRNA from 1 species
CGUAGGUGAACCUGCGGAAGGAUCAUUACUGAGUGAGGGCCCUCUGGGUCCAACCUCCCACCCGUGUUUAUUUACCUUGUUGCUUCGGCGGGCCCGCCUUAACUGGCCGCCGGGGGGCUUACGCCCCCGGGCCCGCGCCCGCCGAAGACACCCUCGAACUCUGUCUGAAGAUUGUAGUCUGAGUGAAAAUAUAAAUUAUUUAAAACUUUCAACAACGGAUCUCUUGGUUCCGGCAUCGAUGAAGAACGCAGCGAAAUGCGAUACGUAAUGUGAAUUGCAAAUUCAGUGAAUCAUCGAGUCUUUGAACGCACAUUGCGCCCCCUGGUAUUCCGGGGGGCAUGCCUGUCCGAGCGUCAUUGCUGCCCUCAAGCACGGCUUGUGUGUUGGGCCCCGUCCUCCGAUUCCGGGGGACGGGCCCGAAAGGCAGCGGCGGCACCGCGUCCGGUCCUCGAGCGUAUGGGGCUUUGUCACCCGCUCUGUAGGCCCGGCCGGCGCUUGCCGAUCAACCCAAAUUUUUAUCCAGGUUGACCUCGGAUCAGGUAGGGAUACCCGCGAACUUAAGCAUAUCAAUAAG